AACCCAUGAAUUGGACAUUUUUAAGUAAGUCCUUAAAAUGCUCCCAUGCUUCACAAAGUAGUUUAUCAUCACCUUGCAUGAAUGUGGCAAUCUGAAUUGUAUCUUU
rnacentral:snoRNA from 1 species